rnacentral:rRNA from 1 species
CCCUUAGAUGUUCUGGGCCGCACGCGCGCUACACUGAUACGUUCAACGAGUUUACAACCUUGAUCGAUAGGUCUGGGUAAUCUUUGGAAUGCGUAUCGUGCUAGGGAUAGAUUAUUGCAAUUAUUAAUCUUGAACGAGGAAUUCCUAGUAAACGCAAGUCAUCAGCUUGCAUUGAUUACGUCCCUGCCCUUUGUACACACCGCCCGUCGCACCUACCGAUCGAAGGUAAUGAUGAGCCCUCAGGAUUGUGGCCUCGUCGCGUCAGCGUCUUGGCUGCGAGAAUCUGUGCAAAUCCCUACCUUUAGAGGAAGGUGAAGUCGUAACA